rnacentral:rRNA from 1 species
UAAAUACUAAUACCAGAUCGAUAGUGCACAAGUACCGUGAGGGAAAGGUGAAAAGAACUGAGGUGAUCAGAGUGAAAUAGAACCUGAAACCAUUUGCUUACAAUCAUUCAGAGCCCUAUGUAGCAAUACAGGGUGAUGGACUGCCUUUUGCAUAAUGAGCCUGCGAGUUGUGGUGUCUGGCAAGGUUAAGCAAACGCGAAGCCGUAGCGAAAGCGAGUCUGAAUAGGGCGCUUAGUCAGAUGCUGCAGACCCGAAACGAAGUGAUCUAUCCAUGAGCAAGUUGAAGCUAGUGUAAGAACUAGUGGAGGACUGAACCCAUAGGCGUUGAAAAGCCCCGGGAUGACUUGUGGAUAGGGGUGAAAGGCCAAUCAAACUUCGUGAUAGCUGGUUCUCUCCGAAAUAUAUUUAGGUAUAGCGUUGUGUCGUAAUAUAAGGGGGUAGAGCACUGAAUGGGCUAGGGCAUACACCAAUGUACCAAACCCUAUCAAACUCCGAAUACCUUAUAUGUAAUCACAGCAGUCAGGCGGCGAGUGAUAAAAUCCGUCGUCAAGAGGGAAACAACCCAGACUACCAGCUAAGGUCCCUAAAUCUUACUUAAGUGGAAAACGAUGUGAAGUUACUUAAACAACCAGGAGGUUGGCUUAGAAGCAGCCAUCCUUUAAAGAAAGCGUAAUAGCUCACUGGUCUAGUGAUUUUGCGCGGAAAAUAUAACGGGGCUAAAGUAAGUACCGAAGCUGUAGACUUGCGCACAACUUAGAUUAUUUAAGUUUAGAAUAUGAGAAACUAAGUUAUAUGUUUAGUUAUAUUUUUACUGAUUUUUAUAGAGUAAAGAUAGAAAUAAAACUUAGUAAAAUCAGUAAAAAUAUUCUUAGAUUAAAGUUAAGUAGUUUAAGUUGUGUGCAAGUGGUAGGAGAGCGUUCUAUUUGCGUCGAAGGUAUACCGGUAAGGAGUGCUGGAGCGAAUAGAAGUGAGCAUGCAGGCAUGAGUAGCGAUAAUUAAUGUGAGAAUCAUUAACGCCGUAAACCCAAGGUUUCCUACGCGAUGCUCGUCAUCGUAGGGUUAGUCGGGUCCUAAGUCGAGUCCGAAAGGGGUAGACGAUGGCAAAUUGGUUAAUAUUCCAAUACCAACAUUAGUGUGCGAUGGAAGGACGCUUAGGGCUAAGGGGGCUAGCGGAUGGAAGUGCUAGUCUAAGGUCGUAGGAGGUUAUACAGGCAAAUCCGUAUAACAAUACUCCGAGAACUGAAAGGCUUUUUGAAGUCUUCGGAUGGAUAGAAGAACCCCUGAUGCCGUCGAGCCAAGAAAAGUUUCUAAGUUUAGCUAAUGUUGCCCGUACCGUAAACCGACACAGGUGGGUGGGAUGAGUAUUCUAAGGCGCGUGGAAGAACUCUCUUUAAGGAACUCUGCAAAAUAGCACCGUA